rnacentral:rRNA from 1 species
CAGCCGCCGCGGGAAUACGUAGGGUCCGAGCGUUGUCCGGAAUUAUUGGGCGUAAAGGGCUCGUAGGCGGUUUGUCGCGUCGGGAGUGAAAACCAGGUGCUUAACACCUGGCCUGCUUUCGAUACGGGCAGACUAGAGGCAUUCAGGGGAGAACGGAAUUCCUGGUGUAGCGGUGAAAUGCGCAGAUAUCAGGAGGAACACCGGUGGCGAAGGCGGUUCUCUGGGAAUGUCCUGACGCUGAGGAGCGAAAGUGUGGGGAGCGAACAGGAUUAGAUACCCCGGUAGUCCCUGUCUCUUAUAC